UACGUAGGUGGCAAGCGUUGUCCGGAAUUACUGGGCGUAAAGCGUGCGCAGGCGGUUCGUUAAGUUCGAUGUGAAAGCCCCGGGCUCAACCUGGGAACUGCAUUGGAAACUGGCGAGCUUGAGUAUGGCAGAGGGGGGUGGAAUUCCGCGUGUAGCAGUGAAAUGCGUAGAGAUGCGGAGGAACACCGAUGGCGAAGGCAGCCCCCUGGGCCAAUACUGACGCUCAGGCACGAAAGCGUGGGGAGCAAACAGG
rnacentral:rRNA from 1 species